rnacentral:rRNA from 1 species
GAUGACGACCGGCAACAACAACAACGAGAACAACCACAAGAACUCGUGCUACCCCUACUGCUACUAUUCAUAUUGCUGCUCGUCCUACGGCUACGGCUACGUCCAGGUGAACGCCCUCGAGAAGACCACGAACGCCCGCUGGACCUCGACGAGCGCGGGCGCCAGCUGCUUGCUCGCGCGGGCGGGCUGCACCGGGAGCUACAGCAGGUCGACGAGGGGGACGCGGCGGUGGUCGUGCCGGUACAGCAACUUGUGGACGACGUCGAGGUCGUCCGAGGCGAGGUCCAGGCGGUGCCGCGGCACGGCGAGGACCUAGAGGCGGUGGUGCGGGUCGUGGAGGGGCGCCGGGACGACGAGGCGCUACCGGGCGACGUCCUUGGCGAGGGGGAGCGGGCAGAGGCGGUCGCACAGGUCGCAGCGGAGCAGCCCGACGCUGGGGCAGUGGCACUUCAUCGCGGCGCGGUGGCACAGGGCCAUGAGCCUCCACUACGCCCUCGCCUCCCUCCUCUUCCUGAGGUACCGCAGGGCGUCAAAGAACGCGUCCGGCCGGUGCUGCCUCCACGCCCACGCCAGGCACCUCCUCGGGCCGGGCGUGGGCCGGUGCCUCGCCAACCGCCGCAACCGGGCCAGCUCGCUGAGCUCCGCCUCGAACUGCUGGAACCGGAAGAACUACCGCCGCCGCUGCAGCCGCAGGUACGCCCUCGCCUCGCGCGCGUGCCGCCUCCGCAGCACCUCGCUGAACGGGCUGAGCAACGGCAGCACCUCCCUCGCGACCUAGGCGAGGUCGAGGGCGUCCAGCAGGAACUACCUGAGGUGCAGGAGCUUCUUCGCCAGGUCCGAGCGGGGGCGGCGCCGCGGGCCGCCGCGGCAGUAGAGGUGCGGCGGCGGCGGCGGCGGCCUGAGCUCCAGGGGCGGCAGCGGGGGGCGCGGGCGCGCGAAGGUGCUCGACCUCUUCUCCAACAAGUACCGACGACGACGGCCGCCGAGUCCGUUCCCAGCUACCUAGCCAGACAUGCGGCCGAAGAACUAAGAGGACCUACCCACCUCCAGGACCGCGCCAAAGAACCUGCCCCUCUUCGCCUCACCUGUUCCCUCCUUCUUCCCCAAUCAAUGAAUU